AUUCUACUCCCUCCGUUGCACAAUACAUACCUUCUAUUUGUCAAAAUAUAUAUGUAUCUAGACAUGUUUUAGUAUAUAGGUACAUCCAAUUUUGGACAAAUGGAAGUCAAGUAUUUUGGAAUGGAGGGAGUACACA
rnacentral:pre_miRNA from 1 species